rnacentral:lncRNA from 1 species
CCCAUACAAGGUACUAAUGUAGCUCCUGGUAAAAAAGUAGGUAGUUGUAAGGCCAAUCUAUCUACGCAGUUACCUGUGUACCUGUGUUACCUGUGUUACCUGUGUGGUGUAUCUGUCUCUAAUGUCUCGCUGCAGGUGGAGGGGCGUGCUGUAGAGGUGGAGGGGCGUGCUGUAGAGGUGGAGGGGUGUGCUGUAGAGGUGGAGGGGCGUGUUGUAGAGGUGGAGGCUGAAGAGAUGGAGCAGGUUGACUCUAGGGCCCUGGGGAGCAGCGUGGAGGGGCGUGCACAGCCAUGUCUCCAGAACAGAGAACUUGGAGUAACUCAGCAUCUCUAGAACACUGUAACGAUCGUCGUCGGGUGACGAGGCAGCGGACCAAAACGCAGCUGGGAGCGAACACAUGUUUAUUCUUUACACUGAAAUAAACACGUACACAAAAUCAAGAAAAUGACGAUACGUUAACUGCUCAAACACAAGAGGCAACACCCCACAAACAGCGUGGGGGGGAAAAAUAACUUAAAUGUGAUCCCAAUCAGAGACAACUAGCGACAGCUGUCUCUGAUUGGGAAUCGACAGAACCCAACAUAGAAAUAAAUCACAUAGAGCGUGUUAACCCAAACUAUAACCCAAACAUAGAAAACAAACCAAGGAAAAUUACCCAACAUGACACACCCUGACCCAAAAUACCCGAGUUCAACGGGUCAGGGCGUGACAAACACUGAACAGGGAGACGGGAGAUAGGAGAGAGAGACACAAAUACAUUUUACCCAAACUGAAAAGAUAUGACUAGAAUUUGUUGCGAAAGCGAAUGUAGGCCUAUAUAUAAUUAAAUAUGGAGUGACCUGAGAGAUAAGACAGAAGGAAAGGAAAAAUGAGAGAGAAAGAUAAUUAAUUAGGACAGACAGACAGACAGACAGACAGACAGACAGACAGACAGACAGACAGACAGACAGACAGACAGACAGACAGACAGACAGACAGACAGACAGACAGACAGACAGACAGACAGACAGACAGACAGACAGACAGACAGACAGACAGACAGACAGACAGACCCAAAAAAGGUCCAGUUGCCAGGACCAUAAAUACAAAUUCCACCUAGACACUGUUGCCCUAGAGUACCCUUUACGGUUGUGAGGUCUGGGGUCCACUCACCAACCAAGAAUUCACCAAAUGGGACAAACAUCAAAUUGAGACUCUGCAUGCAGAAUUCCACAAAAACAUCCUCUGUGUACAAUGUAAAACACCAAAUAAUGCACGCAGAGCAGAAUUAGAAUGAUUCCCACUAAUUAUGAGGAUCCAGAAAAAGAGCAAUUAGUUUCUACAACUACCUAAAAAGAGGCAAUUUCAAACCAUCCAUUACAAACCCCUUACAUACAGAGAGAUGAAACUGGAGCUGAACCAGCUGUUACGGGGACACUGCUCAAAAACACAAACAGACCCCACAGAGCCCCAGGACAGCAACACAAUUACACCCAACCAAAUCAUGAGAAAACAAAUAGAUAUUUACUUGAAACAUUGGAAAGAAUCAACAAAAAAACAGAGCAAACUGAAAUGUUAUUUGUCCCUAAACAAAGAGUACACAUUAGCAGAAUACCUGACCAGUGUGACUGACCCAAACUUAAGGAAAGCUUUGAGUAUGUACAGACUCAGUGAGCAUAGCCUUGCUAUUGAGAAAGGCUCUCAAGAGAAGACAGGAUAUGUGCACACUGCCCACAAAAUGAGGUGGAAACUGAGCUGGACUUUCUAACCUCCUGCCAAAUGUAAGAGCAUAUUAGAGACACAUAUUUCCCCCCAGAUUACACCGACCCACAAGGAAUUUGAAAAGAAAUCCAAUCUUGAUAAACUCCUAUCUAUCUUCAUCUAUUAGGUGGAGCACAAACACCAUUGUAAAUGCAACUUAUCUUAUCUGUUUAUUUAUUUUCCCUUUCAUAUUUCAAUUAUUUGCAUUGCUACAACACAAUAUACAUACCAUUUUAAAUGUAUAUUAUUUUCAAUAUUUUAUGAGUGUAAUGUUUACUGUGAAUUUCUGAAUGUUUAUUUCCCUUUUUGUUUAUUGUCUAUCCCACUUGUCUUGGCAAUGUCAACACAUUCCCCAUGCCAAUAAAGCCCUUUGAAUUGAAUUGAGAGAGACAGACAGACAGACAGACAGACAGACAGACAGACAGACAGACAGACAGACAGACAGACAGACAGACAGACAGACAGACAGACAGACAGACAGACAGACAGACAGACAGACAGACAGACAGACAGACAGACAGACAGACAGACAGGAGGGAGAGGGUUUUAGAGUAUACCUGUCCUCCCCCAGCCCUGGUAGGUCAUCCAUCUCGUCUGCAGCCUGGUGUUUUCGUCAACACAAUACUCAGCUUCUUCGGCAUUCAAAACCUCCGCCACAAUCAGUAACGUCACCCAUUUCUUGGCUUCUUACUGCAUUCACGUAACAGGCAGGCUCCUCGUGGAGUGCAAUGUAAAGCAGGUGGUUAGACCGUUGGACUAGUUAACCGUAAGGUUGCAAGAUUGAAUCCCCGAGCUGACAAGGUAAAAAUCUGUCGUUCUGCCCCUGAACAAGGCAGUUAACCCACCGUUCCUAGGCCGUCAUUGAAAAUAAGAAAGUGUUCUUAACUGAC